UAAUAGACAUUGGUAUAAGUCAGCUUCCAGAUCUCAACUUUCUCUUCUGUGCUAUUUGAAAUCCAGAGAAACUAACUGAAAAUCCUUUCCUCUCUCUUGUAACAAACAACAACUAAAAAAUUCAAGAUUUCCAUUUCUACAAUACCAAGCUGUCUUUUAGAAAAAUCAGAGGGAUUCUUAUGUGAGAUCCAAGAAAUGCUCUGAUCCUUCGUAUCUCAUGUGAGUUUCCUCAUAGUUUUCAAAAGACCUUCAUCCCAAGGCAAGGGACAAAAUCUCCUGGAUGGAGAUUUUUGUUCACCGUCUGUCUCCUUAUUGGACAAAAUUUUACAUAUGAUAUAUUUUUGAAGACCAAGUAGUAGAAAAGCCAAUUAACAUCUUUCAAAAUUAGUUUAGAAAGCAGCAUACCAAAGCUGGAGGUUUUCUGUGUCAGUCUCUCCACCUCUCCGUUUGUGAUGGAUCUUUGCAUGCAGGCAACAGUCAGAAGUUCUCCCCUAGAAAUGAGAAAGG
rnacentral:lncRNA from 1 species